UAGAACGCGGUAUAGCAAGAC
rnacentral:piRNA from 1 species